rnacentral:lncRNA from 1 species
GCCACAGACACCAGGGGGUUAACAAUACAGGAAAAAGAACAGUUCCCAGUUUGCUCCUCCUAGACUAUACCCCUGUUAAACUGUACCAAACUCUGACUAGGUUUGGCCACUGCCAUUGUAAGCAGAGGCGUCUUCAUAGAAUCAGUCCUAACUAGCAUUGCUGAAUUAUCUGCAUCAAAUAUGAUCAAAGUUGUACUGUUUUGUUUGUUGGGGGUUGCCCAACAAACCCUGGCACAGGCGCCAACGCUUGGGGAAGACAAUUUCUUUCUGACAAAAGAUGUGAUGAAUGUGGAUCAUCUUGUGGGUGAUCUUGACAAUGCUUCAACCCAGGAGAUGCCAGUUGGAGAAUGUGGCAUCUACAAAGCACUGCUGUCUUAUUUCAUCAAACAGCUACCGGCUAAUGCCUCAUCACCAGAGGAUCAUUUUAGCAACGUGCUACAUGCUGCCUGUUCAAAUCACCAAUCGUUAGUACAAAACUGCACUAAGUUUGUGGAAACUUUCCAUGCGAAGGUGGAAUCUACCAAAGCUCCAUGAUAUGCAAUAUCACAGAUGUUGGACAUUCUUUGAAACAUUACAUGAAGUGGGAAUAUAAUUUUCCUGAGGAAAUUGGACAUAACUGCUGUUCCAACUGUGCACGAUUCUAAGGAAGUUUGUGAAAAACAUUUAUUUUCUUAAAAUAAAUCGGUCUUAUUGCUCGCUUAUUCA